AGGGAGACCUAAUUCGGGUAGGAGACGAAAAAAAAGUAGUCGCUACCAAGAAUCAAUCCCAAAAGGUCGGAGCGAGGCGAAAUUGGCUUUCAAACUAGGUUCUGGGUUCACACAAGACCUGAAUCAGGAACAAGGGCUAUUAGCUCAGGUGGUUAGAGCGCACCCCUGAUAAGGGUGAGGUCCCUGGUUCGAGUCCAGGAUGGCCCACCUGCACAGGUGGCAAAAACAAGAGAAGCGAGGAAUCAGCACCUUAUCUUACCUACAUAGUAAGAGAGGAUGCUGGCUCUGAGUACAGAGUCCAGAGGAACCUUGAAAACUGCAUAGAGCUAGGUGAAAAAGCCAAAAAAGAAGACCGCAA
rnacentral:tRNA from 1 species